UAACAAGGUCUCCGUUGGUGAACCAGCGGAGGGAUCAUUAUCGAGUUAUUCAACUCCCAAACCCUAUGUGAACUUACCACUUGUUGCUUCGGCGCGCGCUUCGGCGCCGCCGAGGACACUUAAACUCUUUGUUUUUAUAAGCAUUUCUGAGUGGCCGAAAGGCAAAAAUACAAAUGAAUCAAAACUUUCAACAACGGAUCUCUUGGUUCUGGCAUCGAUGAAGAACGCAGCGAAAUGCGAUAAGUAAUGUGAAUUGCAGAAUUCAGUGAAUCAUCGAAUCUUUGAACGCACAUUGCGCCCGCCAGCAUUCUGGCGGGCAUGCCUGUUCGAGCGUCAUUUCAACCCUCGAGCCCGACUCUUUUGAGGACGGCUCGGCGUUGGGGGACGGCAGACUCCCCCCGGCAUCUCGCCGGGGACGCCGCCCCCGAAAUCUAGUGGCGGUCCUCCGAGGCGACCUCUGCGUAGUAACUUGUUCUCGCACCGGAAAGCUCAGAGCGGCCACGCCGUAAAACCCCAACUUUUUUCAGGUUGACCUCGAAUCAGGUAGGACUACCCGCUGAACUUAAGCAUAUCAAUUAACAAGG
rnacentral:rRNA from 1 species